CUCAUGCCUUCUCUGUCUCGAUGCCGGCUAUCAUCUAGCGUCACCGCGACCAUCUUCUUCCCCUCCUUACAAUCUCGCACUGUGGGCCUGUGGCUCUCUAGCUUGCCCAUGCCUCCCUCAUUCCCAGUCGCAAAAUCAAAACAGAGCCACUCUAGUGUUAAUUCGACUCAGUAUGUGUGAUCCUAUCUUCACCAUUGGUCAAGAUCGUCAGUGCAAUUUAUGGCUUAAAGAUCCAACUGUUGGCAAUAUUUUAUGCAAGUUGAGAAACAUCGAGGUAGCAGAAGCGAGAAAGCAAGCUUCUAUCAUUGAAUCAUAUCUUGAGCAAAGAGGAGUAGAUUUUUCUGAAGGAUACAUAUCUUAUAAAGUUGUACUUCCUAAUCCUAAAUUAUGGCCGUAAUGCUCAUACCAUAUCAUACAAAGCUGGAAAACCUCCACAGGAAGUAAGAUUACUGCCUUCCCAGGCCUACAAGAUUAGACGAAGCUAGCUGGUCACCUGCUUUCGGUAACUCAUGCGAACUCUCUCCCCGUGUAUACACAGACCACGACUAGAGCAAGCAUCCUUGCACACUACUUAAGAAAUUAGGAUUAUAUAUUCAUCUUUUGAGAUUGUUGAAGAGAUGGAGGAGCCUGUGGAGGCAGAGAACUAUGGUGGUGAUGAUGAGCCUUCAGUGAUGAAAGCCAUUAUGAGAGAAAGUUCUCAGCUUCUCUCUAUGCCUUCAAUGGAAUAUAUAAUGCCGAAUGCUUGAAGUUGAAGCUUCAGUCAAAGAACAUAAAAGGAGAGGUUUUAUUUUGGGGAUGAGGUUCUACCCUUGUUUGAGACUGGUAUUCUUCUCUUAAACUAACGGUUGAGUCAGCUUCCGGAUGCUAAUAAUGUUUAGAAGGCAAAGAUUGGGUUGAAGGAAUGAAGAAAAGCAUGCAAAGUGGGAGAACUCAUGAAGAAAUGAAGGAAUUGCUAACCUGUCAAUUCUGACCUCUUUGUACUAAAUCGAUCAUAACUUGAGCAACAAAGGUCCAAAUGAGGCGGUUUUAGUUGCGUUGGAAAGCUAACAUCCGGAGCUUCAAAAUGAUAUACAUUUCAUCAAAGUUGCCUUGCAUUUAGGCAACGCGCAUGCGUCGCCCAUGCGUGUGUGAAGCAGGAUCAGCGUGGGCCGUUUUAAGCAACUCGUGGCCAGUGAUUUCUAGCUCAUUUUGGGCCCAAUCCAACUCAUUUCUGAUGCUAUUGAACCCAAGGAUUGAAGAGGGAAUGAACCAAGUAGUCAUAGUUUAGUUUUCAUUAUGUUUUAGAGUAGAAUUCUAGAGAGAGAGGCUCUUUCCUCUCUCUAGAUUUAGGGUAGAAAUUAGGGUAAAGUUAGGUUAAUCUCUCUCAAAUUUAUCUUUCAAUUCUUGUUUUGAUUUAGUUUUCCCUUUUAAUUCCUUGUUAUUAACCUUUGCUCUUCUAGUUCUUGUUGUUAAUUUCUCUUUCAUGUCAUUUUUAUGUUUAUGAACAAUUGUUGGAUCUCAAUUUCUUUUGAUGCAAUUUUAUAUUUCUAUGUCUCUUGAUGUUUGC